UUUACUGUAUUUUUAUGGUAAUCUCCCAUAACUGACUCUCCCUACCCCCAACAUCCUCCUUUGUCUUUAGCUGAGGGUGGUAUUUAAGGAGAGAGCUUCUGAAAUUUUGGCGAGUUUCUCAGUUUGCCUGAGCCUCUCCCUUGUAUACAUGUUAUAAAGCUUUGUUUAAUUUUCUCCUGUUAUUCUGUCUCAUGUCAAUUUAAUUUGUUGUUCUGCCAGAAGGACCCAGAGUGGGUAGAGGAAAUGUCCUCCUCCCCUACAACAGUAAGUCUUGUAAUUUUCACAGCCCAAUAAAGUAAACAAAAAAAACAAGGAGAAGCAAUUUAGGAUUGCCAGCUUUUUAAUUUUACCAAGUAAGUUCUUUAAAAACUAUUGCACACAACGUUUGCUAUCUAUUAUCACUAUCAUUCUUUAAAAAAAAUAAUAAAGUCAUAGAGGAUAUAUUUUUAUAUUGAAAUCAUGUGCUUGACGGAAAACCUUACUACUGUCCUUUUGCUCUUAUUUAGUGUAAAAAAACUUUCGUCAUGGCCCCUGGACUGAUUACUAGAGCUCCUGGCCCCUGGGCUUCUUAGAAAAGAGAGCCUGAGACUAGAAAUGCCUUCUCUUCCCGUGGGGACCCUUCCUGAGAGGAGAGAGAGACAGCUGAGAUGGAGUUACCACCUGCAGCCCAGGAGCCUGGGGGCUUUCACACCAGCUGUACUGUGACCGCAAGGAGAGAGUCUUUUUCAAAUCUCUUUAUCUCUAACACCUAGGACAAUGCCUGGUACUUAGCAGGUAGGUCCUUAAUACGUUUUGGGGAAUGAUGAUAUUAACAACACAGCAUCAGGGGCCUGCUCCGUGGCCGAGUGGUUAAGUUCGCACGCUCCGCUGCGGCGGCCCAGGGUUCGGAUGCUGG